CUAACCCGAAGACCCAAGUCGGAAUGCAAGAGAAGUACGCUCUCUGUGCGGGCGAGGUAGCGCUGAGCUAGGGUUAGGUUUCGGUUUCCCAGUGAUCGAUCGAAACCCUCCCUUCGCAAAAACCGUAGCCAACUUCAACACCCUCGAUUUCCUCCGCCUCUCCACCAUCACCGCCGUCUCCGUCACCGUCGGCUACCUCUCCGGGAUCAAGCCCAACAUUCGAGGCCCGUCGAUGGUGACCGGGGGUCUGAUCGGGGUCAUGGGUGGGUUCAUGUACGCGUAUCAGAAUUCGGCUGGGAGGCUCAUGGGUUUCUUCCCGAACGAAGCCGAGGUCGCCCGAUACAAGAAGUAGAUGGAUGGCGGGAAAUGGUGCUCGCUGAGGACAGUGUUCGUCAUCUCCACCGUAAUGUGCUCCAUCGCUUGAGAUACUUUCUUGCUUUGUGUGCUUUUGCUGUAUUCUUUAUCUGAUAGACCCAAGCUCAUGUUAUGCCUUUGAGGUGUUCGUUGAGGGAGUGUAGUAGCAUCAUGCCAUUCCCUAUUAUAUAUGAGAUAUUGUGUGAACAAAUGAUUUAUGUGUUUUCGUAGUCGCUUCCGUAGAUAUUAUACAAUGCUUGCUAGUAAAUCAUGUCGUCGGCAAGCAUCGUGGCAUGUUGUUAUUUUGAUGUUGGAGUCGAUCAUGCUACUGUUCAAAGAGAUGGAAUUGCAUCUGUUGUGCUUA